GAUGAACGCUGGCGUCGUGCCUAAUACAUGCAAGUCGAGCGAACGGACGAGAAGCUUGCUUUUCUGAUGUUAGCGGCGGACGGGUGAGUAACACGUGGAUAACCUACCUAUAAGACUGGGAUAACUUCGGGAAACCGGAGCUAAUACCGGAUAAUAUUUUGAACCGCAUGGCUCAAAAGUGAAAGACGGUCUUGCUGUCACUUAUAGAUGGAUCCGCGCUGCAUUAGCUAGUUGGUAAGGUAACGGCUUACCAAGGCAACGAUGCAUAGCCGACCUGAGAGGGUGAUCGGCCACACUGGAACUGAGACACGGUCCAGACUCCUACGGGAGGCAGCAGUAGGGAAUCUUCCGCAAUGGGCGAAAGCCUGACGGAGCAACGCCGCGUGAGUGAUGAAGGUCUUCGGAUCGUAAAACUCUGUUAUUAGGGAAGAACAUAUGUGUAAGUAACUGUGCACAUCUUGACGGUACCUAAUCAGAAAGCCACGGCUAACUACGUG
rnacentral:rRNA from 1 species